GACAUCCUACGGGAGGCAGCAGUAGGGAAUAUUGCUCAAUGGGGGAAACCCUGAAGCAGCAACGCCGCGUGGAGGAUGAAGGUUUUCGGAUUGUAAACUCCUUUUGUUAGAGAAGAUAAUGACGGUAUCUAACGAAUAAGCACCGGCUAACUCCGUGCCAGCAGCCGCGGUAAUACGGAGGGUGCAAGCGUUACUCGGAAUCACUGGGCGUAAAGAGUGCGUAGGCGGGGUAAUAAGUCAGAUGUGAAAUCCUAUGGCUUAACCAUAGAACUGCAUUUGAAACUGUUAUUCUAGAGUAUGGGAGA
rnacentral:rRNA from 1 species